UACGAAGGGGGCUAGCGUUGCUCGGAAUCACUGGGCGUAAAGGGUGCGUAGGCGGGUUUUUAAGUCGGUGGUGAAAUCCUGGAGCUCAACUCCAGAACUGCCUUCGAUACUGAGAGUCUCGAGUCCGAGAGAGGUGAGUGGAACUGCGAGUGUAGAGGUGAAAUUCGUAGAUAUUCGCAAGAACACCAGUGGCGAAGGCGGCUCACUGGCUCGGUACUGACGCUGAGGCACGAAAGCGUGGGGAGCAAACAGG
rnacentral:rRNA from 1 species